CCAUGCCCAAUCAGGGAUUGUUCCUUCAAUAUUAUUAUUUGAAAGAUCCAAGAACACAAGAUUCUUUGCUGAUCUCAAAAAGUCCAAUUCGUUUACUUCACAACUGGACAAGGAUAAGUCAGUAAGAGAUUCGGGCAAGGUAGACUUGAUGUUGUUGUCAUUGGUUAGUGAAAUACUAUUAUAUGAAAGAUCCAAAAACUUAAGUUGUUUGAGGUUUGAAAAGAAGCUGACGUCUACAAUGCCACUAAAAUUAUUAGAUGAAAGAUCAAGUAGUGUUAGAUUCACAACGUUUUGAAUUGACUUGGGAAGAUGGCCUUGCAACUGAUUGCCCCAUAAUCCAAUAUCGACUAGUGUAUUGGACUUGAAAUCCUCAAGAUGACUAGAAAAGUGGUUAUGAACACAAGAUUCUGUGCUGAUCUCAAAAAGUCCAAUUCGUUUACUUCACAACCGGACAAGGAUAAGUCAGUAAGAGAUUCGGGCAAGGUAGACUUGAUGUUGUUGUCAUUGGUUAGUGAAAUACUAUUAUAUGAAAGAUCCAAAAACUUAAGUUGUUUGAGGUUUGAAAAGAAGCUGACGUCUACAAUGCCACUAAAAUUAUUAGAUGAAAGAUCAAGUAGUGUUAGAUUCACAACGUUUUGAAUUGACUUGGGAAGAUGGCCUUGCAACUGAUUGCCCCAUAAUCCAAUAUCGACUAGU
rnacentral:lncRNA from 1 species